AAGUCGAGCGAACAGACGAGGAGCUUGCUCCUUUGACGUUAGCGGCGGACGGGUGAGUAACACGUAGGUAACCUACCUAUAAGACUGGGAUAACUUCGGGAAACCGGAGCUAAUACCGGAUAAUAUUUCGAACCGCAUGGUUCGAUAGUGAAAGAUGGCUUUGCUAUCACUUAUAGAUGGACCUGCGCCGUAUUAGCUAGUUGGUAAGGUAACGGCUUACCAAGGCAACGAUACGUAGCCGACCUGAGAGGGUGAUCGGCCACACUGGAACUGAGACACGGUCCAGACUCCUACGGGAGGCAGCAGUAGGGAAUCUUCCGCAAUGGGCGAAAGCCUGACGGAGCAACGCCGCGUGAGUGAUGAAGGUCUUCGGAUCGUAAAACUCUGUUAUUAGGGAAGAACAAACGUGUAAGUAACUGUGCACGUCUUGACGGUACCUAAUCAGAAAGCCACGGCUAACUACGUGCCAGCAGCCGCGGUAAUACGUAGGUGGCAAGCGUUAUCCGGAAUUAUUGGGCGUAAAGCGCGCGUAGGCGGUUUUUUAAGUCUGAUGUGAAAGCCCACGGCUCAACCGUGGAGGGUCAUUGGAAACUGGAAAACUUGAGUGCAGAAGAGGAAAGUGGAAUUCCAUGUGUAGCGGUGAAAUGCGCAGAGAUAUGGAGGAACACCAGUGGCGAAGGCGACUUUCUGGUCUGUAACUGACGCUGAUGUGCGAAAGCGUGGGGAUCAAACAGGAUUAGAUACCCUGGUAGUCCACGCCGUAAACGAUGAGUGCUAAGUGUUAGGGGGUUUCCGCCCCUUAGUGCUGCAGCUAACGCAUUAAGCACUCCGCCUGGGGAGUACGACCGCAAGGUUGAAACUCAAAGGAAUUGACNGGGACCCGCACAAGCGGUGGACCAUGUGGUUUAAUUC
rnacentral:rRNA from 1 species